CAGCCUCUUCGUACUUAAUAUCUCGUCCGACAGAGAAUCCAUCCAUGCACCGGAUAUCUUCACUGUCUGGCAUAUUACAAAUCCAAAAGUGAACCGAGCUAAAUCCGGUUGAUUUCGUCGUGAUUUCGUCGAGGUUGGAACCAACCAAUUUCGAUUCGAGGGGCUGCAAGACAUAAUUUCCGUGGAAAAGGAAUAUUCUCGAGUCCACGUCAGCACCGAUCCUGUUGAGUUUGUUCUCGAGGCACCAAUUUAGUGCCUCCCUGUCCAAAUCUAAGCCCACGGCAGUUCGUCUAGCAUCAUUGUGGAGCCAUUCUACACU
rnacentral:lncRNA from 1 species